GUCGAUGGACGGAAGUCUGAACCAGCCAAGUAGCGUGCAGGAUUGACGGCCUCAUGGGUUGUAAACUGCUUUUGUUGGGGAGUAAAGUGGGGCACGCGUGCCUUUUUGCAUUUACCCUUCGAAUAAGGACCGGCUAAUUCCGUGCCAGCAGCCGCGGUAAUACGGAAGGUCCAGGCGUUAUCCGGAUUUAUUGGGUUUAAAGGGAGUGUAGGCGGUCUGUUAAGCGUGUUGUGAAAUUUAGGUGCUCAACAUCUACCUUGCAGCGCGAACUGGCGGACUUGAGUGCACGCAACGUAUGCGGAAUUCAUGGUGUAGCGGUGAAAUGCUUAGAUAUCAUGACGAACUCCGAUUGCGAAGGCAGCGUACGGGAGUGUUACUGACGCUUAAGCUCGAAGGUGCGGGUAUCGAACAGGAUUAGAUACCCUGGUAGUUCGCACGGUAAACGAUGGGAUGCCCGCUGUUAGCGCCUGGGCGUUAGCGGCUAAGCGAAAGCAUUAAGCAUUCCACCUGGGGGAGUAC
rnacentral:rRNA from 1 species